rnacentral:rRNA from 1 species
UGCCAGCCGCCGCGGUAAUACGGAGGGUGCGAGCGUUAAUCGGAAUUACUGGGCGUAAAGCGCAUGCAGGUGGUUCAUUAAGUCAGAUGUGAAAGCCCGGGGCUCAACCUCGGAACUGCAUUUGAAACUGGUGAACUAGAGUGCUGUAGAGGGGGGUAGAAUUUCAGGUGUAGCGGUGAAAUGCGUAGAGAUCUGAAGGAAUACCAGUGGCGAAGGCGGCCCCCUGGCUUAAUACUGACGCUGAGGUGCGAAAGCGUGGGUAGCGAACAGGAUUAGAUA